UAAAACUCAAAUGAAUUGACGGGGGCCCGCACAAGCGGUGGAGCAUGUGGUUUAAUUCGAUGCAACGCGAAGAACCUUACCUGGUCUUGACAUCCACGGAAGUUUUCAGAGAUGAGAAUGUGCCUUCGGGAACCGUGAGACAGGUGCUGCAUGGCUGUCGUCAGCUCGUGUUGUGAAAUGUUGGGUUAAGUCCCGCAACGAGCGCAACCCUUAUCCUUUGUUGCCAGCGGUUAGGCCGGGAACUCAAAGGAGACUGCCAGUGAUAAACUGGAGGAAGGUGGGGAUGACGUCAAGUCAUCAUGGCCCUUACGACCAGGGCUACACACGUGCUACAAUGGCGCAUACAAAGAGAAGCGACCUCGCGAGAGCAAGCGGACCUCAUAAAGUGCGUCGUAGUCCGGAUUGGAGUCUGCAACUCGACUCCAUGAAGUCGGAAUCGCUAGUAAUCGUGGAUCAGAAUGCCACGGUGAAUACGUUCCCGGGCCUUGUACACACCGCCCGUCACACCAUGGGAGUGGGUUGCAAAAGAAGUAGGUAGCUUAACCUUCGGGAGGGCGCUUACCACUUUGUGAUUCAUGACUGGGGUGAAGUCGUAACAAGGUAACCGUAGGGGAACCUGCGGUUGGAUCACCUCCUUA
rnacentral:rRNA from 1 species